UAUGAUUACCGCUUUAUCGUUCUCUCUCUCUCGAUUGGCAACAUAUUUCGUCAAUUAGCGAUAUCUUCGCGGCGUUAAAUAAAUUAUUGCGGGAGUCACGCGAUCCGGGAGACGGUGCACGUUUUUUUUCUCGAACCGCGAGAGAUCUAUAAUCGUAGAUUACACAAGCUCGACCGGUGCUAAUUUCUCGGAACGAAACGGAAGUACGUUAAAUUAUUUAAUCGCGCAGAGAUACAGGAUCGAUCCGUUGUUUAUCCUCGCUUUUUAUCUCGAUCCUCUUCCAAGCCGAACGGUACAUUCGACGUCGCGGCAUUUAGCUACAGAAGUCAGUUUCUCCGAAUGCAACGAGACAAAGCAACCGUGACUAUAGUCCCCGUCGAUCUCGAACGAUCUGCGUGUGUCCUGUAACGCAUACGAACGGGCCGCAUAUUGUUUCACGGUUAUCGCGGGAUCGAUAAAAAUCCCGGCGCAUCCGGGUUCAGCUGUGUUCUCGCGAAAAGGAAAAAAAAGCGGCCCCGGCCACGGAUGACCGAAUAGAAAAUAAAGAAGCGCAUGCAUGAAGUGAAUCAGUGUCAGAUACGCUACAACUGACGUGAUGUUAUUAUUGACAAAACGUGAAACGGCGAGAGGACGAAAAGAGUACGCUGCGACGCCGCUGCCUAGAAAUCUGGACUCCUCCGUGCGGCACUCGAGGAGAAUCCCGAAGCAUCGCAGAUACAAAAUCUCGGGAGGUCCGACACAAUAAGUUCCAGCGACGCCCGGUUGAGGAAGACCGGAGGUCGCGUAGGAGGCGGAGGAACACGAGAAAAAGAGGAAGAAGAAGAAGAAGAAGAAGAGGAGCAGCAGGAAGACCGACGGCGGCGGCAGAGGAAGAGGAGGAGGAGGAGGAGGAAGCGGAGAGGAUACAUGUCGUGACACAAUUUCCGGCGCGUACGUGUGCUGUUCGCUAGCCGCAGAUUCUGCAGUUUAUUACAAAUCGAAGAAGGAAGAGAGGGCCGAACCGGUGCACCCCUCCCCCCCAUUUGCCGGCGCACCCCGGCCCCCUUUUCAGUCACGCCGAGCCAAUACUCGUCCGCUGCGACACGGGCCGCCCGCUCGAAUUAGCUCGCAAAAGGAUCCCGAUCCACUUCUACGCGCGCAAGAGUAUAUUUCGUUACGGUUAAACGCGGCUUAAUUGGCCGCGACCAUUACGCGUCCGCGGAGGGUGGGGCGCCGCGACACCGUAUUCAAAUUUUCAUUCGAUAAAGGAGAGACGCGCCCGAGCGAGCGAGGGCGGCCGGGGCUCUCCCCUUUUAUCGCGAGCAGUUGAACGGCAGCCAGGGACCCGGGCUGGCGGGUAAUUAAAA